ACCAAGCUCAAGGCGGCACGUUCCGGUACUGCCCAUACAAUCUUGUCCAGUAAGCUGCUAGAAAGAUCAAGUGCAAUUGAUUGAUAGAGAAAAUACCUUAAAUUGCUGAUCGGGUACCUUCAGACCAUAUCUGAUCAUCUCGCUCGGGCUUAAAAGAUGGUUAAAGAAUAUAUGACUGGUUGAUCCGAAGAUGGUCAGUCCUAAACCGGUAAGUCAUCAUCCAAGUCUUAGGAGUUGGAAGAGGCGAAAAAGGCAAGGCACUAGGAUCGGAUGAAGGACUGGUCCGAGAGGGAAACUAGCAUGGUAUCCCAUAUGAAGGAUACCCAGAAUUAUGAGUGGAUGUAUGAUUCUAGGUGAAAGCCAAUCAUUAAAAGAAAAAAGCACAUCAGUACAAGAAGGCGGGCAUUGAUAUUGAUCCUGAAAGUGGGGAAGACAAAGAAGGGUUAAAAAGACUGAAUUUAGUCUUUUAUUCCUUUCCUUUAGGACAGACAGUAACCUUCAUAACUCUUAAGCCAUUGUGAAUGAGGAGCUGACCUAAGGCUGGGAAUUGAACUGACUGAAUGUCCGAUGGUUGAGAGGUAACUUCAUGCGUAGAAGCUCUUGAAGUAUCCAGUCUUGGUCUUAUAUCAAUAAGCGCUGUUCAGGAAUGGCGUUCUUUCCCAUCAUGUUUUAGGAAAUACUUCCAUAAAUAAUAGACUAGAGCAGCCAUAUAGAUAUAGUUGAAAGUCUACAUUCAUCCUGUUCAUUUAUAGCUAAAGUAAAAGCGUUCUUCCCAUCUGUUUUCGGGAAAUCCAAGGUAUUGCUCUAAAAAAAAAGAAAAAAAGAAAAAGGUAGCCGAGCCGAAGGAGCUCUCACAAAUAGAAUUUGAGUACCACGGAGAAAAGCUAGCUGGAUAAACAAGACAGGGAUCGCCCGCUCGGCAAUGC
rnacentral:lncRNA from 1 species